rnacentral:rRNA from 1 species
GAUGAACGCUAGCGAUAGGCUUAACACAUGCAAGUCGAGGGGCAGCACAAGGUAGCUUGCUAUCUGGGUGGCGACCGGCGCACGGGUGCGUAACGCGUAUGCAACUUGCCCUAUACAGGAGGAUAACCCGUCGAAAGACGGACUAAUACUGCGUAUGCUCACAACUUGGCAUCAAGUGGUGAGGAAAGAAAUUCGGUAUAGGAUAGGCAUGCGUCCCAUUAGCUUGUUGGUGAGGUAACGGCUCACCAAGGCAACGAUGGGUAGGGGAACUGAGAGGUUUAUCCCCCACACUGGUACUGAGACACGGGCCAGACUCCUACGGGAGGCAGCAGUGAGGAAUAUUGGUCAAUGGGCGCGAGCCUGAACCAGCCAAGUCGCGUGAAGGAUGACUGUCUUAUGGAUUGUAAACUUCUUUUAUACGGGAAUAACAAGAGUCACGUGUGACUCCCUGCAUGUACCGUAUGAAUAAGCAUCGGCUAACUCCGUG